GAUGAACGCUGGCGGCGUGCCUAAUACAUGCAAGUCGAGCGAACAGACGAGGAGCUUGCUCCUCUGACGUUAGCGGCGGACGGGUGAGUAACACGUGGAUAACCUACCUAUAAGACUGGGAUAACUUCGGGAAACCGGAGCUAAUACCGGAUAAUAUAUUGAACCGCAUGGUUCAAUAGUGAAAGACGGUUUUGCUGUCACUUAUAGAUGGAUCCGCGCCGCAUUAGCUAGUUGGUAAGGUAACGGCUUACCAAGGCAACGAUGCGUAGCCGACCUGAGAGGGUGAUCGGCCACACUGGAACUGAGACACGGUCCAGACUCCUAUGGGAGGCAGCAGUAGGGAAUCUUCCGCAAUGGGUGAAAGCCUGACGGAGCAACGCCGCGUGAGUGAUGAAGGUCUUCGGAUCGUAAAACUCUGUUAUUAGGGAAGAACAAAUGUGUAAGUAACUAUGCACGUCUUGACGAUACCUAAUCAGAAAGCCACGGCUAACUACGUG
rnacentral:rRNA from 1 species